AUGGGAAAGGAAGGUCCUUGCUGCCAUUGCGGCGUCACGAGCACUCCACUUUGGCGAAAUGGGCCACCACAUAAGCCAGUGCUCUGCAAUGCAUGUGGCUCGAGAUGGAGAACAAAGGGUUCAUUGGAGAAUUACACACCAAUGCAUUCUCGUGAUGAUAUCGAUGCUGAUCAACCUAGAGUUAGCAAGCUGAAGCCGCCGACAUUGAGACUAAAGGAACAGCGGCAGCUCAAGAAAAAGCCAAGCCACAGCAUAAGGGAGAAUGGAGCAUUUUCUGAUCAGAACUUCUGGAAGAUGGGGGAUGCCGACCCAAGUCGAUCUAGUUCUGGAUCAGCACUAUCAUAUUCAGAGAGUUGUGCUCCAUAUGGUUCUGCUGAUGCUAGUGAAAUGGGGUCAGCGCAAUCGCAUGCUUGGGAGUCAUUGGUACCAUCAAAAAAGAGAAGCUGUGUCACUCGGACCAAGUCUUCAUCCGUGGAUAUGCUUGUCAAAGAUCUUCAUUGUAUAAUGCAUGAAGAGCAGUUAUGUUACCUUUCUGGAUCCUCGGAGGAAGAUCUAAUUUACCACACUGCAACUCCUGUGGGUUCCUUUGAGAUUGGCUAUGGAAGCAUGCUUCUGAGAAGUUCAAACUCAAAAUCAGCGGAGGAAGAUUCAGAAGCAAACUCUGUUCCUGCAGAUAAUAAAUCAUUCCUUACAAGUGAAUCCUACUCAGGGACUGCUUCGUUUGUUGUGCAUAGUGAAAGCAAGGGAGCAAGUAAUUCAAAUGCUUCACCUGAGAAGCCAAAGUGGUUUCCGGUGCAGACACAUGAAAUUGUUAAAAGGGGUAAACUUCAUUACUCAAAGCAGCAUACCCUGGAAAAUGUAGGUUCAGCUUUAGUUUCAGUAGCUUUAGAGGGAGAAGGCACUAAGGAAACAGGAGGAAAUGAAAAUACCAGUGCUUUGAAAGACCUUACCAAAUCCACCAUGAAGCCUCUCAAAAGGCCUCAUGAAAGCCAGUUGCAAAGCUGCCAAGAAGGAACCAUGAGGAUUGCCAAAAAAGUUUGCAAAUCUGUGGCUAUGGCUCCUCAGUUCAAAGGUUCAUUUUUGCCCAAAUCUGGAGGAGCACCAUUUAACUUACUCAUGUUACCCCCAGAUAAAAUAUCCAUGCUUGCCCCUCCGCAGUACAUGGAUAAUUCUGAUCAAGACUUGCUGCUGGAGGUUCCUCUCAAUGCGCGGCAACCAGAGGCAGAACUUCUUUGCCAACCAUUUCAACUUAGCUCAGUAACCCGCAGCUCCUCCUCAGCGGACGUGGUUGCUGAUGGCGAGGGGCGCCUCAAGCAACCGUAG
rnacentral:rRNA from 1 species